rnacentral:rRNA from 1 species
GACGAACGCUGGCGGCGUGCUUAACACAUGCAAGUCGAACGAAAAGAGGGAAAGAGCUUGCUCUUUCCGGAAUUGAGUGGCAAACGGGUGAGUAACACGUAAACAACCUGCCUUCAGGAUGGGGACAACAGACGGAAACGACUGCUAAUACCGAAUAAGUUCCAAGAGCCGCAUGGCCCAUGGAAGAAAAGGUGGCCUCUACCUGUAAGCUAUCGCCUGAAGAGGGGUUUGCGUCUGAUUAGCUGGUUGGAGGGGUAACGGCCUACCAAGGCGACGAUCAGGAGCCCGUCUGAGAGGAUGAACGGCCACCCUGGAACUGAGACACGGUCCAGACUCCUACGGGAGGCAGCAGUGGGGAAUCUUCCGCAAUGGGCGAAAGCCUGACGGAGCAACGCCGCGUGAGUGAUGACGGCCUUCGGGUUGUAAAACCCUGUGAUCCGGGACGAAAAGGCAGAGUGCGAAGAACAAACUGCAUUGACGGUACCGGAAAAGCAAGCCACGGCUAACUACGUG